rnacentral:lncRNA from 1 species
GACAAAAGAAAUGAUAAGAUUUGAAUUUAUAGGACAAAGCUUUCGAUAUCGCUUGAAACAAAUCUCGACUAAACAAUUUCUUCAUCAAAUGUUUUUAGAAAGAAAAAAGAAAAGAAAAUGCGGACAGUCAACAGAUUAAAUCAAUCACAUGCGCUCUAGUAGUAUUACAACAUUUCUCACCCUAUGCCAAAAAACCAUCAAUUAUUCAGUUCACUGUAUUUGUACUUAUUUUAUCAUUGAUAAACACCUAACUUCUAAACUAGUCCUAAUGCAAAUUCUAAGAUAAGAGAAAUUUUGCAAAAACAAAGAAGAUGAUGAGAGAUCAACACCACUAUCUUAAAAGGCCAAGUUUACAUCUUCCAAUUCUUCUUCUGAUGUUGAUGGUGAUGAUCCCAUGGAGCACAAGCCAUUUUGCUUUAGACCCACCGGAGAAGAGAAACAGCCUCGGCUUCUUCCACUGCAACGGCUCGUCCGCUGAAUGCUCCGGUAUUGGAGUUCUUGGUGGAGUCGGAAACAAGAAGAAUGCUGCAGCAAGGAGGCAAUCGGCCUUCGACUAACACCCUUGAGUUUAAUAUUGCAGCUUGUGGUCGUGACAAGUACGGCUACUUAUGCACUCCGCCGAGCAACACAGAUGUUAAAAGAUCUGAAAACUGUGGAGGGGAUACCUUCAAUCGUGCCUGCCACCAAUUAUCCAAAUGAGCAGUUAGGUUGCCAUAUUCACCCGAACAACCCCCCCCCCCCGGGGUCCUUUUCAUCCACUCCUUCCUUUUAUUCUUCAUUUUAUCCUAUGCUAGUUCAAGGUAUAUCUUAGAUGUUUGAUGCUCGUUUCAAGUUUCAUUCUUGGAAUUUCUUAAAUUAUUAUCGCUUUCUAUUGGAAUUUCUUCUUGGUAUAUGCUGAUUCUUGUGGCCGAAUACACAUCUUUGAUUAAAUCAAUUUAUAAUAAAUUUAAUUUUUAUUAACACUUUAAUAAUUCAAAAUAAAAAUCAAAUUAUUAAAGUUUGAUAACACAUUAAAAAAUGAAAAAUGAAAAGUAAAUAACCUACUUAAAAUAUUUUAAAUAAUUUAAAACAAUAAAAAGCGUAACUAAAACUAGCCCACUACUUUAAAUUUAUACAUUAUCACAUGACUUAUUCUCAAUGCCCCACUCUUCUUUUUAAAAUUCAUUAUUUUUAAAGAGAUAAAAUGACAAUUGUAAUUGUCCGUAACAAUUAGAAAAGUAAAUCACGAUGUAGUGCUUGAGGUUACAUAUUGGAAUUAAUUUAUAUAUUUUUAUAAUGAUUAAAAUGUAAUAUUAUCAGUUUAAUAGUUUAUAUUUUAUAAUUUUUUUAAAAAAAAUUAUCAUUUUAAGAGUUUAAGUAUUAUUUUACCAUGUGUUAAUUUAAAUUUUGUUAAAUUUUAAAGGGUCAAGAGCGAUAUUUUUCAUUUUAGGGGGUUGGGGCUCUUACUUAGCCCAUAGAGUAAUCCACUAUUGAUUUACAAUAUAAACAACUAUUUAAGUUCAACUUACUAAUCGAGUUGUUAUCUCAAUUCCAUAUUUGAUUAGAUUACUCUUUCCCCUAAGAUUUUCUUUAUAAAAACUUAAUCAUAAACUAAACCUGAAUAAUAAGUUGUCUACAAUAAAUUUGGACUAGCACAAGUUACUCACAAUUAACAAAAAUAGUGCUUUCUCUCUCUAACAGAUUAAAAUAAACAAGCCUUUUUUGAAUAGAAGUUAAAAGCUUGUAAAACUCCAUUUAGUGUAGGGGUGAACAAAACUCGAUUCGACUCGAAAAAAAUUUGAAUUUCGAGUUAAACGAAUCGAGUUAUUCGAAUCAACUCGAUUUUUUUUUCGAAUUUCGAGUUUGAAUCGAGUUGAGUUUUCAAAUUCGAAUAAUUCGAAUAAUUAGAAUAAUUCGAAUAUCAAACUAUAAUAUUUUACAUUUUUACUCCAAACUCCCAAACCUUUUUACUUUUCCUUCAAAACUUUUACUCCUUCCCACUUUCCCCCCAAAACUUUUACUCCCCUCCCCUCCCAACCCCCCAAUCUACCCAAAAUCCAUUUCCCACCAAAAUUUUACUCUCCCAUUUACUUUCUCUCAAAAUUUUACUCCCAAAAACCCUCCUCAAAACCUUUUAUUUUCCCCCAAAAUUUCUACUCCCUCUCACUUUUCCCCUAAAACUUUUAUUCCCCUCCCAUCCCACCUCUCAUAUAUCCCAAACCCUCCCCCCUCCAAAUUUUUUUUAAUAUUUUCCCUCCAAAAUUUUACUUCCCCCUAUUUACUUUCCCUCAAACUUUUAUUCCCCAAAACUUUUUAUUUUUCCUCUAAACUUUUACUUCUCACCCUUUACUCUCAAAUAAAAUAUCAAAAUUAUCCAAAAAAAAUCACUAAACAUAAAUAGUAAUAAUUUUAUUUAUAUCUACUAUUUAUAUUAUUAAAUUAAAUUUCACAUUUUAUAUUAUUUAUAUUAUUGAAUUGUUUAGUCAUAUUGAAUAUUUAUAUUAAAAUUGAAUUAUUAAUUAUGCCAUAAAAUAUUCGUGUUAAAAUUUUAUAUUGGUAUCAACUUCACAUUUUAUUUUUAAAAUAACUUUUAUUAAAAAAUCAUAUUUUUACAUUUAAUAUAUUUUUAAUUCCAAAAUACAUAGUGACAAGAAUCUGAAGAUAAUUGAAACAACUAAGCAAGCAAAGAAGCUAACCAGUAUAUAAAAAAUUAAUAAAUAAAUUACGAGGAGAUGAAAGUUAAUAAAAAAUUUGAUUAAGGUGGACAAAUUUUAUUAUGAUGGGUGACAAUGGUUACAAGGACCCAAAAUUAUUUUUUAAAAUUUAACUCGAACAAAUAUAUUCGAUUCGAUUCGAUUCAAAUUUCAUCUCACUCGACUCGAUUCGAGAAAACUUCAAAUAAAGUUAGGAUAAUAAAAUGAGAUUCGAAAACUCGAUUAAGUCUAAAAUUUUCGAUUUGAUUCGAUCGAAUACUCACCCCUAAUUUAGUGUAACAAUAUAUCACCUUGAAUUUUAUUUCAAGUAGGUCAUCAAUAAAGGAACAAAAUAGUAAAAUAUCUUCUAAGAAGACAAUUAGAUCUCUCCAAUUAAGAAAAUCCAAUCACACAUAAAUUAUUCAAAGAUAUAUUACCAUUGUGUCUUGUUAUAAUGUUAGAGUAUUUUCUAGCACAACUUUAUAAAAUAAUUAAUUAAAAUAUUUAUAUAUAUACAUAAAAUGAAAUUGUUAAAUUUUAUUUGUUACUUUGAAAAAAAAAACUCAAAGUAAUUAUUAAUACACUUAUAUUAAUAUAAAUAAUUACUAAAAUAAACAAUAGAUCUAUUAUAAUAAAGGCAAAUAUUAUAAUAUAUAUUAAUUUUUUAAUGAAAUUAUAAUAGCAUAUUUAUAAUAUGUUGGUAAAAAUAAAAUAAUUUCAAACUUAUAUUAUAUUCAUCUUUAGUGUAAUAUUUUUAACAAUUAUUUUCUAUCUUCAUAUUAUUGUUAUAAUUGCGUUUGAAUUUGCCACAUAUCUAACAAGUGAUUUAAUAUUAAUACUAGAUUAUUCAAUUUCACUGCUAUGUCACUAUCACCGUUGUUUCUAAGCUCAUUAAAGUCAAUCUCAUUGUCCACCCAAAAGGAGUCGGAGGAGGUAUCAUGAGUUAACCAAACAUCAACUUAAUUAAUAAAUGACUAAAAACUCGUUAUUUUACAAAGUAAUAGAUAUCACUACGAGUGUAUUUUUCUUAUAUAUAUAUAAAAUAUAUAAAAAUCAAUUUAAAUAGAAAUAAAUCUAGAAAAAUACCACAAAGAUUGGACUUGAACCUAAGAUACCAUGACCUUCAAAGAUCCAACUUUACCAUUUUAAUUAAAGCCUCAUUUUUUCUUGCAUAAUUUUUUUUAACAAAUAUAUCUUUUAUGUCAUUUCUUUUUUAAAUCACAUCGAAGGUAUGCUAUAAUUUAAUUUAUUUAACCAACUUUAUUCAUUUUAAGAAGAUAAAAAUAUUUUUCAGUACCUGAGUUUGGCUUCAAUGUUUAAAUUGGAAUAUAUGUUUUUUUUUCAGUUUGAUACUCGAAUUUGACUUUUGUCACAUAUUUUAGUCCAUUUUUGUAACUUCAUUAAAAUUGGGUAAUGUCUCUGAUUACUACAUAUGGGAGGUACAUCAACUAAUAAUGUGGUAUGCGUGCCAUGUGUCUAAACUUGAUUUGUCCAUAUCAUCCAGUUUCAAUGGAGUUACAGAAUUAGACUAUAAUGUACAAUGGAAGCCAAAUUCAAGAUUACUAACGAAAGUAAAAUUCAGGUACCAAUCAGAAAAAAAUAUAGGUACAAAUUUGAAUAUUGAAAUCAAGCUCAGAUAUCAAAAAUUAUAUUUAUCUUAUUUUAAAAUUAGAUAAAUUUUUUAUACAGUUCCUACUUCUACUCAUAAAUUCCCCAAAUAAUUAAAUGAAAGGAAAAAUACAUAUAUAAGCAUGCUUGAACUUAUGUCACGGGCUUAGAUUUUUCUCACACAAUUCGUGUGGCCUUAGGCAGUUUCUUCGCUCCCAAAAAUGCCUAAGUCAGCUUAACUCCCAACAAUUGAGGAUUUAACAGAAUUCCUCUAAGGCACCAAUGAAGAAUAAAGCCACAGAAAAACUAGAACACGAGAGAAAGUUUUUAGUGAAUGCUCUCAAGAACCCUAUUACUCAAUGAAUGGUUUACAAGUAGGGGGAGAGACCUUUAUUUAUAGUUGAGCCUUGAACUCAAGCUCGAGUCAAUAAUUAUGCUUAGGGCUAAUAAUACAUAUUAAGGGAAAAAAAACAUAAUUUAAUAAUAUAAUAAUAUGAGAAGCUCGAUAAGGCUCACUAGUCGUUCAAGUCAAGUACUACUAAGCUCAAAUUUAGUUCGGUCGAUAGCUUGAGUUGCUCAAGCUCAAUCUCAAUCUCGGCUCGAUAACUACAGAAUCGAGUUCUGUAACACCCCAAAAUUUUAAUUUUGGGUAUUGUGAAUGUGUGACACAAAAUAUUUGUCUACUUUAGUGGUUAUGUGUUUUAGGUGUGGGAGGUUCCAAGUUCAAGCCAAGACUUGGGCAAAUUUUGGUAUUUUUAUGAAUAAGCCCUAUCUUUGGUCAAUAAGGUUUUAAGUAAAAGUUGGCAAAUAAUUAAUAGAAUGGACAUGCUGGUCUGGUGGAUAAGUGGAGUGUUAGUGUGAAGGAGGUCUUGUGUUCAAAUCUUGGCGUGGGCAUUAUUUUUGCUCGUGCAUCUAGGAGAGUUUAAGAUGGGCUAAAAAUCUGAGUAGUGGAUUUAGUGGGGAGUUUGAUGGAGAGAAAUAAGGCAUUGGGGUGGUUAUCAAAUAUUCUGUUCAUUUUUUUUCCUUUUUUUUACUUUCCCCAAAAUUCCUCCACCCUUUUGUCAUUUUUCUCUUCAUUGCUGUUGAAUUUCUGCUCUCUUUCACCCUUCAUCUUCUUGAUUUUUCUUUUCCUACUCUGUCUCAUGUCGUUCCACAUUUGUCUGCGAUCGUUCGGUAAGUUUUAGAUAAGUGAUUUGUCUCCGUUUGUUAACUUUCUUCUGAAGUGAUUUAUUUUUGCCAAUUAAGGGAGGAUUCAAGGGCUCGUAAUCACCAAUCAGAGUCUUAGUUUGUGUGGGAAUUACUAUUCAUCGGUUAAAGGUAAAGUUUAGUCGCUUAUGGGUUAAAACCUCGAAACGAGUUCAAUUUGGGAUCACGUUAUGUGAGAUUAAAUUAGUGUUAUUUGUUCAAUUAUAGGCUUUGGAGUGCUCGGUGACUAUUUUAGCAUCAAACAAAACCAAGUGUGUACCCGAAAUGCAAAAAAUAGGAUUCGGCGAAAAGUCGAAAUUGCUUGUUGUUUGGACAGCAACAGUAUGCUAACUUUGAAAAAUCACCAUAAAUUGUGGAGAUCAAAUUAGAGGAUGAACAAAAUAUGAAUAUUUAGCUAGCAUGGGUUACGUUAAAAAUGGACCACGCGGGCGUAUGGGCCCACACGGGCAGACCACAUGGGCGUGUGAGCCUAUUUUCACUAAAUUGAUUCCUAAGGUUGCACGGGUGACCCAAGUCGACUGUGAACCUACUGUAGGGUCGGUAAGCAUCUCUUAGACCCCUAAUUGUACAAACUGAUUGUUUGAUUUAUAUAUGUGUUGAGCAUGAUGAUAGUAUGCUUGUAUACUGAACUGGUUAUAUGUACUGAUGUCCUGAGAUAGCAUGUCAUGACUUGUAUGUUGCAUUGCAUGGGGUAGGGUUGAUUAUAUUUGGAGGAAGUGUACUGAAAGGCUCUUAAGCCUAACAUACUGGUAGCUAAGCUGUAAAUUAUUGUUUUGUGUCGCAUUCGGUACUACCUGGAGUGUAGGGAUGGGUGGGUUGAUUUGAUCCCCACAUGGAGUGUUGGGUUGGACAGAGAUGGUGUGUAGAGGCUGGUUGGGUAGGACUUUGUUACUGAACACUGCAUGACUGCUAUUGAUACUGUGAUGGGCUAAGGCACUAUUGCAUAUUUGAUACUUUACUGAGAUGGGCUAAGGCCCAAACUGUUAUUGAUACUAAAAAAGGGCUUAGGACUAGCGCUGCUUUAACUAUGCACUUUUAUUUGCUAUUGUUUGUUUUCUGUGGGAUUACACACUGAGUUUUCGUAAACUCACCCAUUUUGUUUAAAUGUGCACAGGUAAUCCCCAGAUCUAGACGGAUCGGUCCGGUGGAGGACUCGGCAGUGACCACAGUUUUGGACUUUCAUGGUUUUUAACCCAUAUUUACAAUAAUUGGUUUUAUUUCUAUUCUAUUUUUACUGGCUAAGUUUUUGGGUUGUAAUUGGACUUUCGAACUUUGGUUUUGGGUUUUAAGUAUCUUUACCUUCUGGAUUACAAUUGCUAGUAGUAGGAAACCUCGGUUUUCAAAAGAAACAAAUGUUUUUCCUAAACGCACGAUUGUUUAAUUUGUUUUAAAAGCUUCCGCAAACGAAUAACAUUUUGAAACUAUCGAUUCAAUGAGUAGCACAAAUUUGGAACUAAUAAGAUAUUAAGAUAAGGAAUUCAAUGGAAAUGGUUUUAACGCGACGGCACGGUUUUCAAACACCCUAUCAUGUGACAUCGCUAGAUCCGGCCAUAACGUUUGGGGCGGGUUUGGGGUGUUACAAGUUCGAAUUUUUUAGUUGAACUCAAGUAGCGUGCAAGUACCAAUGUCUCAUUUACAUCCCUAAGUCAAACAGAGCUCGAGCUUUGAAUAUUAAAAUUCAAGCUCAACUCAUAUUUUAAAUGAAUCUAACCUUUUUGUUUAAUUCCAUUUUUUGAGGCCUAAUAUU